UGACGCUCUCCCCAAGGACACAAGCCAUGCAUGCCCGCACACCCGGGAAGCGGCGGACGGCUCAGGACAACGGUUGCACCCCCCGCGGCGGUCCCUGCUAGCCGGACACCGCUGGCAACCCGGCGCCAAGACGUGCGCGCAAGUGCGGGCGCCCGCGGGCGAGCAGCGUGACGCAGA
rnacentral:rRNA from 1 species